AAAUAUUCGAAACUACCACUUGUCCUAAUUAAAAAAAUAGAAACCCAGCAACCGACAAACGCUGGGAAAUGCUAGUAAUAAGUAAACAAGCAUUUCACGAUACCGUCUCUGUUUCGUUUCUUGCAUACUUGUUCGUUGACUUGCUUUCUUGACUACUGGGAACCAGGAAUGACCGAAGCUAUAAUCGGUGCAACCAUAGAUGUGGCUUUGUCCAAGGCUAUCUCUAUCAUCGAAGACCAAAUCAACCUGGUUGUGACUUGGGAUUUCAAAGACGACCUCAACAAGCUUCGUUCCUCACUAGAUCUCGCUCGAGCUUUCUUGCAAGACGCGGAGAGUAGGCGAGUCGAUGAACCCAUCAAGGUUUGGCUUCAACAGCUGAGGUGUAUCGCCUAUGCUGCCGACGAUGUAUUGGAUGAGCUUGCUUAUGAAAGUCUCUAAAGAACGACAGAGGCUAACCAAAUGGGUAAAAAGGGACUAAAUUGGAGGCGAAAAGUAAAUUCAAGGGAAAAGGCGUCAAUUCGGAGAUUAAAUGGGCCAAUAUGCAACGUGGGACAAAUAUGGUGCCAAAAGUGCGAACAUGGAAGGCACAAGGACUUAAAAGCAAAUAGAAGAGAUUUUAUUUUGGAAGACUCUAUUUUAUUUUAUUCUAUUAGGAUAAUUAACAUUAAGAUAAUUAUUAGGAUUAUUCAAAUUUAGGAUUUUAUUUUAAUUAUCUUUGUUUAUCUUUAAUUAAAUGUAUUUAUCUUUUUAUAA